UACGUAGGGGGCUAGCGUUGUCCGGAAUCAUUGGGCGUAAAGAGCGUGUAGGCGGUCCGGUAAGUCCGCUGUGAAAGUCGGGGGCUCAACCCUCGAAUGCCGGUGGAUACUGUCGGGCUAGAGUGCGGAAGAGGCGAGUGGAAUUCCUGGUGUAGCGGUGAAAUGCGCAGAUAUCAGGAGGAACACCGGUGGCGAAGGCGGAUCUCUGGGCCUGUUCUGACGCUGAGGCGCGAAAGCUAGGGGAGCGAACAGG
rnacentral:rRNA from 1 species